rnacentral:rRNA from 1 species
AGUGAAUAGAUACCCUGGUAGUCCUAGCCGUAAACGAUACUCGCUAGGUGUCGGCCACGGUGCGACCGUUGUCGGUGCCGUAGGGAAAGCCGUGAAGCGAGCCACCUGGGAAGUACGGCCGCAAGGCUGAAACUUAAAGGAAUUGGCGGGGGAGCACCACAACGGGUGGAGCUUGCGGUUUAAAUUGGAUUCAACGCCGGAAAUCUUACCGGGACCGACAGCAACAUGAAGGCCAGGCUGAAGACUUUGCCGGAUUAGCUGAGAGGUGGUGCAUGGCCGUCGUCAGUUCGUACUGUGAAGCAUCCUGUUAAGUCAGGCAACGAGCGAGACCCACGCCCACAGUUGCCAGCGUACUCUCUGGAGUGACGGGUACACUGUGGGGACCGCCGCUGCUAAAGCGGAGGAAGGAAUGGGCAACGGUAGGUCAGUAUGCCCCGAAUAUCCCGGGCUACACGCGAGCUACAAUGGUUGGUACAAUGGGUAUCUACCCCGAAAGGGGAUGGAAAUCUCCUAAAGCCAAUCUUAGUUCGGAUUGAGGGCUGCAACUCG